AUUGAACGCUGGCGGCAUGCCUUACACAUGCAAGUCGAACGGUAGAGUAGCAAUACUCGAGAGUGGCGAACGGGUGAGUAAUAUAUCGGAACGUGCCCAGUCGUGGGGGAUAACGUAGAGAAAUUUACGCUAAUACCGCAUACGAUCUAUGGAUGAAAGCGGGGGAUCGCAAGACCACGCGCGAUUGGAGCGGCUGAUAUCAGAUUAGGUUGUUGGUGAGGUAAAAGCUCACCAAGCCGACGAUCUGUAGCUGGUUUGAGAGAACGACCAGCCACACUGGGACUGAGACACGGCCCAGACUCCUACGGGAGGCAGCAGUGGGGAAUUUUGGACAAUGGGCGAAAGCCUGAUCCAGCAAUGCCGCGUGCAGGAAGAAGGCCUUCGGGUUGUAAACUGCUUUUGUACGGAACGAAACGGUUCUCUCUAAUAAAGAGAGCUAAUGACGGUACCGUAAGAAUAAGCACCGGCUAACUACGUGCCAGCCGCCGCAGUAAGAC
rnacentral:rRNA from 1 species